rfam:Rhizopus oryzae RA 99-880 supercont3.8 genomic scaffold, whole genome shotgun sequence.
AGUGGGAUGGCGGAGUGGUUAACGCGCCAGGUUUAGGUCCUGGUCUCUUCGGAGGCGCGAGUUCGAACCUCGCUUCCACUA